CGAAACAGACGCUGCGAGUCUAAGGAGCCAAUGAAACUCUAGAGUGAAUUCAAGAAGUGCAUACCUUUCCACACGCGAGUGACAUACCCUGAAAUUGUUAAAUGUAAUUUUUCGGAUUUAACAACUGAAUUGUGAAUCUUUUAUCUCAUGAAAGUUAUUUUAAAAUACAAAGAAAAAGCAGAAAAAUUAGUGUUUUAUUGAUUCAACGUGAAAGACAGAGGAUCGAUACCAAAAGUUUUUGGCAAAGAACCUCAAGAAAGUGGGUUGCAAACUAAAAUACAAAGUAAAGACGAUUAUAUUACAGUGCAAUCUGGGUCUCAAAAGCUAGAGCCUCGUGAUUUUUAACGACCGAGUGGAUUAAGUUGUGCAGGUUUUUAUUCUAAGGUACAAAAGUAGCAACCUGAUAAUCGAGUUUUGGGUGAAAACGUCAAAGAACAAAGCCACUGUUCCUUUGUUUCGGAGGAGAAAACUUUUCAGGAGAAAGAAUUCGCCGCUAUUCAGCUUGACUACACUGAAGAGAAGCAAUUAUUUGGAAAAUCACAGUGCUGCAAUUUGAUUUAAGCGCAGAGGUUUUCUUCGAUAGAUAAAGCUUGAAAACUGUCUGACCAACUCCAGUUCCAGUGCCUCAACUCUAAAAUUCAUUCAAUCUUUUCACUAUCCUUAUAUUCUUGUCUCUGGAAAUAGUAGAAUGUCAUCACCUAUCAAACAGGAAAUCCGGAUUACUGUCUUCUUCAACAACGGUGUUGUGGUCAUUUACGUUUGAAUCGCCAGCUGAUUCGCCGUUUACGUCACAGACAAAAAGAAGAAGCCAUUGGAAUCAAUCGUGCACUGACGUUCAUUCAGUUAAAUCGCGGAUACUCUUCUCAUUGGCACGAUACCAGAAGGUGAAGAUCUUCCAUACAAAUCAAAUCUGAGUAAGAGUCUGUCAAAACUGAUUUAAAAUAUUGACUCGAAUUUUUGACCGGUCAGAUCCAGAUAAACUAACGGCUCUCAUCGUUGAUGUAUUGACAUCAGAAGUUCCAGAAGACUUCCUCAUUUUUGUAUCCGUUGAAGAAAGCUUUGAUAUCAGAAAAACUUUCAGCCUUGGUCUCUGUCGUCACUUUAGAAAUUGACAGAAUGGCCUACUAGGUCAUUGCACUUGUUGUACAACGUACAGAUACAGAAGCCGAUCAACCGUGAACGAUCGGCCAACCGCGAAACGUGGAUUAAAAAAGCCGAACGUAGUUGGUGAACAACGGUCGAGAGGAGAAAGUGAGAUCGCCGAGAGUAAAUUCUGGACGCAGAGCUCUGGAAACUGAACCAUCCUUUCGCGGUUUCUUCCUCCAGAUAACGGUUUUCAAGAUUCUUAAGAAAGCCGUCUAAAAAUCCCUCCCAUGGCCUUCUUUCGAAAAGAAAUGCCUUUGGUGCAGAAAACAAGAGGAGUCAUUAUUUAAGAGAGUAAACUUCUGUUUUUUAAUCUCGCCGACUGGCUUUUCUUUCUCGAGUUAAUUGCCAAUCAGUCGGUGAACGUCUCAAACGGUAUCAAUUGAGGCCAAUGUUGCGUGGACUCAGCAUCCCUGCUCAUUGCAGUCUGUACACUCUUGCUUCUUCCUCGUGUGUCUCGAAGAAGACAAAAGGGAUAGAUCUCUAGAACAGAAUUACUUUCCAAGGUACCAUUCUUAGCUGAAAGUGCAACAGUUCCAAGAGCAAGACUGAGAGCUUCUACUCUUGAUUUAUUUUUACGAUUAUUGGCCAUUUGUUUGUCUUCGUUUCCAUAUAUUGACGCUUUAAUUGCUCGACAAAGCAAUUAAAGUCGGCUGCUUUGAAAGACUUAUUCGAGGCUGUUGCUGCAAGCAAAGAUUCAAAAUGACUUGCCCCCAGCCACCCAAUCACCAAACCGCCCUGAUUCCCGUACCGACUGUCUCUUUCUAUUCUCGAAACUUCCACGCGCCAAUUUUCAAGACAGUUACAAUCACCAAUACCGUAUCUGUGGUAUUUUUGCCGACGCCCUCAAAGAUCGUGCCAAAAUAGCGACCGAGCUUCAUGCACUAAUUGUACAACAAAGCGAGCUUGCCGAUUCAUCGCUGAAAAAUGUUUGAUUAUAUUUUCCAAUGAAUUCCUCGUGCAUUUUCUCAGGGAUCUCGAGGACGUUUCAUAGACGUCGUAAAACACUGCCGUAAAAAUUACAAUCAUAGCCAUACUAUGGAAAUACUUCCCGGUUGCGUAAGCGAAAUAAGACGCUCUAUGCUUUCGUAUGUGGAUGAUUUGAAUCUUCAAGUCAAGCAUCGCGGAACUUAAAACAUAAGGUUAAUUAUAAUUUUAUUUUAAGUACGUCUGUUUGGGAAUCAAUGUAGUUAAAAGGCAUAUUUUUAUUGUAGAGUUUUCUUAAAAGCCUUUUUAAAAGUGUUUCUAUAAUCAUCACAAUACUUUUUAUGGUAUGUCAUCAAUUAAAUAUUCAGAAGAUUAUUAUGUAAUUUCGUUUUCUUCUGAAAAGUAUGUUUUUCUUACAUACCCUUGGCAAUUUUAUUAUACCAUAUUUAAGACCAAAUUUAUUAACUUUCGAUGUUAAUUUGACAUUGAUAUAGAAACAAUAUUCACCAGUAAAAUUCUGUACAUUUGUGUUCUGAGAAGAAUAUCCAUGGAAAUCAAUAAUUAGUAUCAUUAAUAUCCCACAAGUAAAAAGUCUUUGUGAUCUCAGUCUAAGUGUUUUUUACGAUAAUAAAUUAGUAAUCAACGACAUUUAUUCAUUUUUCUCUCCCUUGUCAUUUUCCGCGUAUUGUGUAUGUGUGAGAAUAACAUGCAAUUAGCAUCAAGACUGAAGAUGAAUGUCGAUAUCGUCAUCCUGGUUGCAUAAUCUUAAUUAGUUGUUUUUUAAGGGGCAAUCGACAUUCUAAUCAGGGGAGUUGCUAUACCUUCGUUACACAGAUUUUUAUGAAAUAGAAAUGUGAUGAAAAAUGUAAAAAAAAUGUUUUGAUUAAUACACAUUUUAGACUUUGAAAACAAUUUCGAAAUCGGUACAAUGCGAAAAAGUAGCGCUUUGAGAUCCUAAAGUAGUAUAAUUAGUUUGGCGUGGAUAGACAUUUCUUGUUCUUAAAGUUUUUAAUUUUUUUUCCAAUUUAUUUACAUUCCUGGAGAAAAAAUCAGUUUUUCCAAUUUUUUUCUGAUUUUAAUUAACGAAUUUGUAAGAGAUAGGUAAAUCGGGGAAAACAUUGUACAGGUACCUGCAAACUUUUCAGUAAAAAAAUGCACUAUGAAAAAAAUCACCUCGACCAAGGUAUCCAAAUUGGAAAUACAGCUAAUUUUUACCCCCCCCCCCCUUUUUUUUUAAAGUGAAAAUAUAUUUUCUGCGUCCUGUCGAUUUUUAAAAGAAUUGUUCUAUGAUGAGAAAGGCAACACAUGCACAGAGAAAUUUUCAACCCACAAGUUAUGAAGAUAAUUUAAAAUUAAACUUUUAAAAAUUCGCUCGAUUGCCAAUUUCAAUUCCUGGAGCUUGGAAAUUUUUUUUCGAAUGCAUUUUUGUCACUGAAAAGUGUUCAAGCAUCCGAAAAAAUUUCUGUGUACACAAGUGUUUGCAAUUGUUUCAGGAAAUAGGGGUGAAAUAAAUUGGAAUUAUUUUUUAGAAAAUAAAUGAUUAAAAUCCACGAAAAAUUGGGAAGGGUUUUUUAUCUCCAGGAAUGUAAUAAAAUACUAAAACGCGAAAAAGUUUUAAACGUCAGCAUACAAGAAUUUUUCUAACCGAUUUUAUCGAUUUUUUCGAUUUUUCUUUUUUAUAUAUCCUAGUACGCUAUAUUGGUAUGCUUAUUAUAUGAAAAACAAAAUAUUUGCUUUAUCUAGUCGAAAAUGUGAAUGAUUUAACAUUUUUUUGAAUCAACUAAAAUUUGUUUACCCCAACCAAAUUUUCGUGAUAUGAAAGAAAAAAAUUCGUGGGUGUAAGAACAAUUUUUUCUGAGUUUUUUCUGGCUCCCCAUAAAAGGAUUAACACCGAAUUUAAUAUCACCGUCCGAUCCCUUUUUUAAAAAAGUAAAUUUUUGUGUUUCGUAAAGCAUGAGAUGUGGGAUUUGCAUGCAAAAUUUUUGGUAAAAAGUUGCUUCAAAGUUAUUAUUAUUUUAAAUAGAAAGAAAUUAAUUUAAUUUUAUAGUUUUCAAC